rnacentral:rRNA from 1 species
UACGGAGGUGGCAAGCGUUGUUCGGAAUUACUGGGCGUAAAGGGCGCGUAGGCGGCUAGGCAAGUCAGGUGUGAAAGCCCCGGGCUUAACUUGGGAAUUGCAUCUGAAACUGCUGUGCUUGAGUUCUGGAGGGGGUAGUGGAAUUCCCAGUGUAGCGGUGAAAUGCGUAGAUAUUGGGAGGAACACCGGCGGCGAAGGCGGCUACCUGGACAGAAACUGACGCUGAGGCGCGAAAGCUAGGGGAGCGAACGGG